rnacentral:rRNA from 1 species
UGCGUAGGUGGUUGGGUAAGUUUGAUGUGAAAGCUCUGGGCUCAACCCAGAAAUGGCAUUGAAUACUAUCCGACUAGAGGAGUGGAGGGGGGACUGGAAUACUUGGUGUAGCAGUGAAAUGCGUAGAUAUCAAGUGGAACACCAGUGGCGAAGGCGAGUCCCUGGACACUUCCUGACACUGAGGCACGAAAAGACUGGGGAGGCAAACCAAG